rnacentral:rRNA from 1 species
GCCAAGCUUGCUUGGUGGAUCAGUGGCGAACGGGUGAGUAACACGUGAGCAACCUGCCCUGGACUCUGGGAUAAGCGCUGGAAACGGCGUCUAAUACUGGAUAUGAGCCUCUAUCGCAUGGUGGGGGUUGGAAAGAUUUUUUGGUCUGGGAUGGGCUCGCGGCCUAUCAGCUUGUUGGUGAGGUAAUGGCUCACCAAGGCGUCGACGGGUAGCCGGCCUGAGAGGGUGACCGGCCACACUGGGACUGAGACACGGCCCAGACUCCUACGGGAGGCAGCAGUGGGGAAUAUUGCACAAUGGGCGGAAGCCUGAUGCAGCAACGCCGCGUGAGGGAUGACGGCCUUCGGGUUGUAAACCUCUUUUAGCAGGGAAGAAGCGAGAGUGACGGUACCUGCAGAAAAAGCGCCGGCUAACUACGUGCCAGCAGCCGCGGUAAUACGUAGGGCGCAAGCGUUAUCCGGAAUUAUUGGGCGUAAAGAGCUCGUAGGCGGUUUGUCGCGUCUGCUGUGAAAUCCCGAGGCUCAACCUCGGGCCUGCAGUGGGUACGGGCAGACUAGAGUGCGGUAGGGGAGAUUGGAAUUCCUGGUGUAGCGGUGGAAUGCGCAGAUAUCAGGAGGAACACCGAUGGCGAAGGCAGAUCUCUGGGCCGUAACUGACGCUGAGGAGCGAAAGGGUGGGGAGCAAACAGGCUUAGAUACCCUGGUAGUCCACCCCCGUAAACGUUGGGAACUAGUUGUGGGGACCAUUCCACGGUUUCCGUGACGCAGCUAACGCAUUAAGUUCCCCGCCUGGGGAGUACGGCCGCAAGGCUAAAACUCAAAGGAAUUGACGGGGACCCGCACAAGCGGCGGAGCAUGCGGAUUAAUUCGAUGCAACGCGAAGAACCUUACCAAGGCUUGACAUACACCAGAACACCGUAGAAAUACGGGACUCUUUGGACACUGGUGAACAGGUGGUGCAUGGUUGUCGUCAGCUCGUGUCGUGAGAUGUUGGGUUAAGUCCCGCAACGAGCGCAACCCUCGUUCUAUGUUGCCAGCACGUUAUGGUGGGAACUCAUGGGAUACUGCCGGGGUCAACUCGGAGGAAGGUGGGGAUGACGUCAAAUCAUCAUGCCCCUUAUGUCUUGGGCUUCACGCAUGCUACAAUGGCCGGUACAAAGGGCUGCAAUACCGUGAGGUGGAGCGAAUCCCAAAAAGCCGGUCCCAGUUCGGAUUGAGGUCUGCAACUCGACCUCAUGAAGUCGGAGUCGCUAGUAAUCGCAGAUCAGCAACGCUGCGGUGAAUACGUUCCCGGGUCUUGUACACACCGCCCGUCAAGUCAUGAAAGUCGGUAACACCUGAAGCCGGUGGCCCAACCCUUGUGGAGGGAGCCGUCGAAGGUGGGAUCGGUAA